rnacentral:misc_RNA from 1 species
CCCAACUAUCCCUAUUAAUCAUUACGUCAAUCCUAGAAACCAACAAAAUAGGUUCGAACGUCCUAUUUCAUUAUUCCAUGCUAAUGUAUUCAGGCGCUAGCCUGCUUUAAACACUCUAAUUUUUUCAAAGUAACAGUCCUGUUUCCCCGCAACACCAAAUUAAUGGCAUUACGGUUCUACAAGAAGGAGGAGUCAGCGAGCCAGUGCAUACCAUUGGCACGACCGACCUGCUAACCCCGAAAUUCAACUACGAGCUUUUUAACUGCAACAACUUUAAUAUACGCUAUUGGAGCUGGAAUUACCGCGGCUGCUGGCACCAGACUUGCCCUCCAA